rnacentral:rRNA from 1 species
GACGAACGCUGGCGGCAUGCCUAACACAUGUAAGUCGAACGAGACCUUCGGGUCUAGUGGCGCACGGGUGCGUAACGCGUGGGAACCUGCCCUUAGGUUCGGAAUAACUCCCCGAAAGGGGUGCUAAUACCGGAUAAUGUCUUCGGACCAAAGAUUUAUCGCCUUUGGAUGGGCCCGCGUUGGAUUAGCUAGUUGGUAGGGUAAAAGCCUACCAAGGCGACGAUCCAUAGCUGGUCUGAGAGGAUGAUCAGCCACACUGGGACUGAGACACGGCCCAGACUCCUACGGGAGGCAGCAGUGGGGAAUAUUGGACAAUGGGCGAAAGCCUGAUCCAGCAAUGCCGCGUGAGUGAUGAAGGCCUUAGGGUUGUAAAGCUCUUUUACCCGGGAUGAUAAUGACAGUACCGGGAGAAUAAGCUCCGGCUAACUCCGUG